UACGAAGGGGGCUAGCGUUGCUCGGAAUCACUGGGCGUAAAGGGCGCGUAGGCGGCCGAUCAAGUCAGAGGUGAAAGCCCAGGGCUUAACCCUGGAAUUGCCUUUGAUACUGUUUGGCUCGAGACCGGAAGAGGUAAGUGGAACUGCGAGUGUAGAGGUGAAAUUCGUAGAUAUUCGCAAGAACACCAGUGGCGAAGGCGGCUUACUGGUCCGGUUCUGACGCUGAGGCGCGAAAGCGUGGGGAGCAAACAGG
rnacentral:rRNA from 1 species